rnacentral:miRNA from 1 species
CCAGUCUUGCAUUUAUUCCACU